GGAGAGGUGGCAGAGUGGUCGAAUGCGGCGGUCUCGAAAACCGUUAGACGGGUAACCGUCUCGGGGGUUCGAAUCCCCCCCUCUCCGCCA
rnacentral:tRNA from 1 species